ACGAACUGUGCGAACGUUAUUCGGAAUCACUGGGCUUAAAGGGUGCGUAGGCGGCGACUCAAGUCAGGUGUGAAAUCCCCCGGCUCAACCGGGGAACAGCGCUUGAAACUAGGUCGCUCGAGUGAGGUAGGGGUGUAUGGAACUUCCGGUGGAGCGGUGAAAUGUGUAGAUAUCGGAAGGAACGCCGGCGGCGAAAGCGGUACACUGGGCCUUGUCUGACGCUGAGGCACGAAAGCUAGGGGAGUGAACGGGAUUAGAUACCCCGGUAAUCCUAGCCGUAAACACUGAGCACUGGAGGGGAGGGGUUUCGGCCUUUCCCCUCGCAGCGAAAGCGUUAAGUGCUCCGCCUGGGGAGUAUGGUCGCAAGGCUG
rnacentral:rRNA from 1 species